GAGAGAGAGAGAGAGAGAGGAGCUGGGUUGUUGAGCAGCUCAAAAGUGCUUGAAGGACUAUCACAGGUGGCCCUCAAUGUGUAAAAUGAGAGAGAUUGCUUCUCAUCAUUGCUGCAAAUUCCUCCUCCCUCAAGUCUCAAGCCAUGGAGAAAUCAAAUCUCAAAUAAACAAAUCUCAUCAUUUUACAACCAGAUCAUCCAUACCGAAGUUCCUAAAUUUCUUUUUUUUUUU
rnacentral:misc_RNA from 1 species